AACGAACGCUGGCGGCAUGCCUAACACAUGCAAGUCGAACGAGACCUUCGGGUCUAGUGGCGCACGGGUGCGUAACGCGUGGGAACCUGCCCUUAGGUUCGGAAUAACUCCCCGAAAGGGGUGCUAAUACCGGAUAAUGUCUUCGGACCAAAGAUUUAUCGCCUUUGGAUGGGCCCGCGUUGGAUUAGCUAGUUGGUAGGGUAAAAGCCUACCAAGGCGACGAUCCAUAGCUGGUCUGAGAGGAUGAUCAGCCAUACUGGGACUGAGACACGGCCCAGACUCCUACGGGAGGCAGCAGUGGGGUAUAUUGGACAAUGGGCGAAAGCCUGAUCCAGCAAUGCCGCGUGAGUGAUGAAGGCCUUAGGGUUGUAAAGCUCUUUUACCCGGGAUGAUAAUGACAGUACCGGGAGAAUAAGCUCCGGCUAACUCCGUG
rnacentral:rRNA from 1 species